UACGGGGGGGGCAAGCGUUGUUCGGAAUUACUGGGCGUAAAGGGCUCGUAGGCGGCCAACUAAGUCGGAUGUGAAAUCCCCAGGCUCAACUUGGGAACUGCAUCCGAUACUGGAUGGCUUGAAUUCGGGAGAGGGAUGCAGAAUUCCAGGUGUAGCGGUGAAAUGCGUAGAUAUCUGGAGGAAUACCGGUGGCGAAGGCGGCUUCUUGGGCCAUUUCUGACGCUGAGGCGCGAAAGCUAGGGGAGCGAACGGG
rnacentral:rRNA from 1 species